rnacentral:rRNA from 1 species
UUACUGGGCGUAAAGCGCGCGUAGGCGGAUUAGUCAGUCAGGGGUGAAAUCCCGGGGCUCAACCCCGGAACUGCCUUUCAUACUGGCGAUCUGGAGUUCGAGAGAGGGGAGUGGAAUUCCGAGUGUAGAGGUGAAAUUCGUAGAUAUUCGGAGGAACACCAGUGGCGAAGGCGGCUCACUGGCUCGAUACUGACGCUGAGGUGCGAAAGUGUGGGGAGCAAACAGGAUUAGAUACCCUGGUAGUCCACACCGUAAACGAUGAAUGCCAGUCGUCGGGUAGCAUGCUGCUCGGUGACACACCUAACGGAUUAAGCAUUCCGCCUGGGGAGUACGGUCGCAAGAUUAAAACUCAUAGGAAUUGACGGGGGCCCGCACAAGAGGUGGAGCAUGUGGUUUAAUUCGAAGCAACGCGCAGAACCUUACCAACCCUUGACAUCCUGAUCGCGGUUACCGGAGACGGUUUCCUUCAAUUCGGCUGGAUCAGUGACAGGUGCUGCAUGRCUGUCGUCAGCUCGUGUCGUGAGAUGUUCGGUUAAGUCCGGCARCGAGCGCAACCCACAUCCUUAGUUGCCAGCAGUUCGGCUGGGCACUCUAGGGAAWCUGCCGAUGAUAAGUCGGAGGAAGGUGUGGAUSACGUCAAGUCCUCAUGGCCCUUACGGGUUGGGCUACACACGUGCUACAAUGGCAGUSACAAUGGGUUAAUCCCUAAAAVCUGUCUCAGUUCGGAUUGUUCUCUGCAACUCGAGAGCAUGAAGUCGGUAGCGCUAGUGAUCGUGUAACAGCAUGACACGGUGAAUACGUUCCCGGGCCUUGUACACACCGCCCGUCACACCAUGGGAGUUGGUUCUACCCGACGACGCUGCGCUAACCUUCGGGGGGCAGGCGGCCACGGUAGGAUCAGAGAAAUGGGGUGAAGUGGUA